rnacentral:rRNA from 1 species
GUCCACGCCCUAAACGAUGCGAACUGGACGUUGGGAGCAAUCAGGCUCUCAGUGUCGAAGCUAACGCGUUAAGUUCGCCGCCUGGGGAGUACGGUCGCAAGACUGAAACUCAAAGGAAUUGACGGGGGCCCGCACAAGCGGUGGAGUAUGUGGUUUAAUUCGAUGCAACGCGAAGAACCUUACCUGGCCUUGACAUCCACGGAACCCUUGAGAGAUCGAGGGGUGCCUUCGGGAACCGUGAGACAGGUGCUGCAUGGCUGUCGU